UUGCAAAUGGAGAAUCAUGGAAAGAGAUGAGACGCUUUGCCCUCACCACCCUGAGAGACUUUGGGAUGGGCAAACGAAUGGCUGAACAUAAAAUCUUGGAGGAAUGCCACCAUCUGAUCCAAAUGUUUGAAAAGCAUAAAGGGAAACCAUUUAAUACAGCACGCCUGGUGAAUUAUGCAACAUCCAAUAUCAUUUGCAAUAUUGUGUAUGGAAGCAGGUUUGAAUAUGAUGAUCCUCAAUUCACAAACAUGGUGACGCGAGCCAAUGAGAACAUACGUGUUGUGGGCUCUGCAGAAAUCCAGCUUUACAACAUGUUUCCCAGGCUGGUCAGUUGGGUAAAAAGCCGACAGCUGAUAUUAAAAAACACUGAGACAACUGUAAGAGAAGUCAAAGAUUUAUUCAAGAGUCUGAAAGAGACACUGAACCCUCACUUAUGCAGGGGACUUGUGGACUGUUUUCUGAUACGGAAGCAGAAAG